UUGUCAUCACAUCGGGAAGCGGACAUCCACGUUCACCGGUGCUCAGGACCAUGGAUCUGCCUGCAGCAAUGCAGUCCGAAAAAUAAACACCCCCUCGCUGCUUUUAUGAUGAUCCAUGGAGCUGAGAAGGACGCUGGUAUCAUCUUUGCUUGGUAUUUCAUCGGGCCGAGUGCGGCAGCGACCGGGAAAGACAGUUAGAGUAUUCAUAGUGAGUGUGGACGACCAGAAGCUCGACAGCGAACCUCAUUUUGCGAGAAGGAUUUAGCAGAAACGCAAUAGCAGUCCCCUCAGCACAGCUGGAAAACGCCAUUCAUUCCUAUUCACAUUAGAUGCCGCUGAAUUACAAAAAGAGGAUGGACAGACAACGUUGGAAGAAGGAGGAGCUUGAAAGAGCAACGCAGGCCAUCGAGAACGGAUUUUCUUUGACCAAGCAUCAAAAGUGUUUGAAAAUGCUCGACCAGCAGUGAAAAGAUUCAUGCAGAGUUCGAGAUGGUGUCAAUCCAACUUUUCUGGUCUGGAAUCUGGCGAACACUCCUGCUAUCGAUCCCAAAACAUUUUUACUGAUUGUAACAUUAUCCCAAAAUACUUUACAUAAACAUAAGUAUGUUUUUUUUCGAUGAAACACACACUGGACCAAAUCUCCCCGCAUCAAAUUUUAAUGUCCAAAAAUCAUCACUUUUAUUUUAUGAUAUAUUUGGUAGAUUGAAGCUUCAUAUAAUGAUUAAACAUUAUUUAUUGAGAGAAAACAAGUGUAGCUCAGUAUAUAGUGUGACAUUUUUUAUUUAGACCGUAUAGGUUUGGAAAAAUUAGGCAAUUUGCUUAGGUGGUCCAAAUUCCCCCCUUUUCCCCUAGAUAAAUUCCAUAGUGAACCUCACAAGUUAUAACCAGAAAGAAUCCACAUUCACUUACAAUCUCAAACUGGCUAUAGAUUAGGAUAGAGAAUCAAAUGUCUAGUAAUAAAAUCAUAGAAUGAAUCAGAUUGUACACACUUCUAAUAUAUAUUACCAAAAUCCUGUAAAGUAAAUUUCAGAUGCUACUUAUAUUUUCAUUAAAAAUUAACGACAUCAAUUAAGUUGUAGUGUGAAUGUGACUGAUGUGAAUUCCAAGAAUCAAUACAUUUCAGACAACACAACAUUAAAAAAUAUUAAUAAGAGAGUACGAAUGCAUUAUAUACAUUCUAAAAUUAGAAUAUGUUCGUCUUGCUGUUGAUUUGUUUCGACAUAUUUGGCUAGUCUAAUGUCUGCUAGUUGAUAUUCGUAAAUAUGUGGAAAAAUAUUUGCUAGUUGAUGUUCGUCUAAAAAAAUAUUGAUCAUUUUUUGCUAUUGAUAAAAUUCGACUCACAUGUACGUGCAAACUCGAAAAACUUUCACCUCUGAAUAGAAACCACAAUUGAGUACUAACAAUAAAAUAAAACAAGCGCUAGGCGCUAUUUCGCUUUCCUAAUGAAAAUGACGCAUGUAACAGUACAUUAAGA